GAAGCUUCGUUUUUGAGUUAUUAACGAAAAACACUGGCCAAUCAGAGCGCGCCUUUAGCUCGGGCCGAACCACGAGUGCGUUGGCUUUCAGCCACGGUCGUGAACAAACGCAUUGGCACAGCGCGGGUAUCAAGGGUAGCGUGCGAUAAAUGUUACAUCGUCUUAAAUUAAUAACAAUGUGGAAUUAUUCGUUAUUCAUAAAUAACAAAUGCGUUUGUGCCAAUGCGUUUGAUCACGACCACGACCGAGCGCGGCUGAAGACGCGCUCUGAAUGGCCAGUGUUUUUCGUUAAUAACUCAAAAACGAAGCUUCAAACGACAUUUUGAAAAAACAGGAACAUUUCUCACAAAAUGAGAAAAAUUUGAUUUCUUCAACUUCCAUCUGUGUAUAUUCUCUGUAUAAAAUACUCUCAUUUAACAUGAUAUAUGUUGUUUUACAAUUUUUGUGAUACAAUGUAUAAAAACAAAGCUUAUAAACUCUACUGUAUUCAUACUAUUAUUUCAUCCAGCAAUGGUAACUGUUGUAUAAUUAUACAAGUAUUUUAGAUUCUAUACUAUCAUUAACAUUUCGUUAUAAGUCUAUGAAAAGAUCGAAGGUAGAUGUGUAAAUAUAACUCUGAUAAAAUUCGUUAUUAUUUGUGAACAAGAAUUAUACUUCGUUAAUAUUGGUAAACGUAACUAUAACGUUGAACAACAAUAAAAUACAAUCUAAAGAUUAAAUUGCAUAACAUGAUAUUAUUGAAUGUUUGAAAAGGUUGCUGUAACGAGAAAGAAAAUAAAAAAAGAAGGAUAUUCAAUAUAUCUAUUUAAAAUUUAUAAAUACAAAAUAAAUAUAAAUUACUAACGCCAAGACGCGUUAGACGUUGUUUAAAAAAAAGAAUCUGCAUUUUUGUUAUCUCGUGGAUCACUUAUUUUACACUUUUUGGAACUAAAAUGUUUGUCGUUGAUAAUACGUUCGUAAUGGAUUUUCGUUUGCACAUGUUGUUU